UUGACGUUACCCGCAGAAGAAGCACCGGCUAACUCCGUGCCAGCAGCCGCGGUAAUACGGAGGGUGCAAGCGUUAAUCGGAAUUACUGGGCGUAAAGCGCACGCAGGCGGUCUGUCAAGUCGGAUGUGAAAUCCCCGGGCUCAACCUGGGAACUGCAUUCGAAACUGGCAGGCUUGAGUCUUGUAGAGGGGGGUAGAAUUCCAGGUGUAGCGGUGAAAUGCGUAGAGAUCUGGAGGAAUACCGGUGGCGAAGGCGGCCCCCUGGACAAAGA
rnacentral:rRNA from 1 species